GACGAACGCUGGCGGCGUGCUUAACACAUGCAAGUCGAACGGAAAGGCCCUGCUUUUGUGGGGUGCUCGAGUGGCGAACGGGUGGGUAACACGUGAGUAACCUGCCCUUGACUUUGGGAUAACUUCAGGAAACUGGGGCUAAUACCGGAUAGGAGCUCCUGCUGCAUGGUGGGGGUUGGAAAGUUUCGGCGGUUGGGGAUGGACUCGCGGCUUAUCAGCUUGUUGGUGGGGUAGUGGCUUACCAAGGCUUUGACGGGUAGCCGGCCUGAGGGGGUGACCGGCAAAAGGGGGACGGAUACAGGGCCGGGACUCAGAGGGGGGGAGGAGGGGGGAAUUUUGGAAAAAGGGGGGGAAGCCGGAGGCAGAAACGCGGGGGGGGGGAGGCGGGCCUGGGGUUUGAAACCCGGUUGCGCCGGUGAAGAGGGGGGAGGGAGGGAAAGGGAUAAAGAAAACCGGGAAAACUCCGGC
rnacentral:rRNA from 1 species